UACGAAGGGGGCAAGCGUUGCUCGGAAUCACUGGGCGUAAAGCGCACGUAGGCGGACUCUUAAGUCGGGGGUGAAAUCCUGGAGCUCAACUCCAGAACUGCCUUCGAUACUGGGAGUCUCGAGUCCGGGAGAGGUGAGUGGAACUGCGAGUGUAGAGGUGAAAUUCGUAGAUAUUCGCAAGAACACCAGUGGCGAAGGCGGCUCACUGGCCCGGUACUGACGCUGAGGUGCGAAAGCGUGGGGAGCAAACAGG
rnacentral:rRNA from 1 species